CGCGCGUGCCCGCUUCAGGAGAGGUGGCAGAGCGGUUGAAUGUACCUGACUCGAAAUCAGGCGUGCGUUUAUAGCGCACCGAGGGUUCGAAUCCCUCCCUCUCCGCCAUACGAAGAACGCCCCCUCUCGGGGGCGUUUUUUUUUGCUCGGCAACAUCCUUCAGUAGCCUGUGGAAAGCCAGGGCUACCUCCAUCCUCUGGGGGUGGGG
rnacentral:sRNA from 1 species